GAUGAACGCUGGCGGCGUGCCUAAUACAUGCAAGUCGAGCGAAAAGACGAGGAGUUUGCUCCUCUGACGUUAGCGGCGGGCGGGUGGGUAAGACGUGUAUAACCUGCUUAUAAGACUGGGAUAACUGCGGGAAACCGGAGCUAAUACUGGAGAAGAUAUUGAACCGCAUGGUUCAAUGGUGAAAGACGGUUUUGGCGUCACAUAGAGAUGGAUCCGCGCCGCAUUAGCUAGUGGGUAAGGUAAUGGCUUACCAAGGCGACGAUGCGUAGCCGACCUGAGAGGGUGCUCGGCCACACUGGAACUGAGACACGGUCCAGACUCCUACGGGAGGCAGCAGUAGGGAAUAUUCGGCAAUGGGCGCAAUCAUGGCGGAGCAACGCCGCGCGAGUGAUAAAGGGCUUCGGUUCGUAAUGCUGUUUUAUUAGGUGAGAACCAAUGUGUAAGUAUCCCUACCCGUCUUGACGGUACCCCAUCAGUAAGCCCCGGCUAACUACGUG
rnacentral:rRNA from 1 species